UAUGUUUAGUUUAGUUUUCUAAUGGUAAAUUGUAAGUGAAAAUAUAGAGCCUUAGUGACACCUAGUGGACAUUGUUCAUGUGUUUAAUUUGGUCAGUCAAGCAGAACUCGUCCAGCUGCACGCAUGGUGUCAUCGAUUGUCCUUCAGACACGUUUGUUCCUUGGACACUAUUUGUCUUUGCCUUGAUACUGCUUGCUCCACCAAUCAGGUUGCCCACUGAUGGGGCCUAUUCAUCAUGAGCUGGUUGAAGAGAUACUGCGGGCUGGCAGAGGAAGUGAUGUCAGCAUUUUGGAGCAGCCCAGCCAGAAUCCUGACUUGAAUCUGGUUGAGAACCCAUCACUAAAUGUUGAAGUGAUGGCAAGGAGGCCUUCUCACCUCAAAGAGUUCAUAAUUAAGAUGCUUGGCAAUAAAAGCCUCGUCUGCUCUUCAACUCUGUUCUUCCCACCAGAGAUCUGAGCAGCGGAGGCGAGGAAGACCAAUGUCGAAACAUUUGACAAAAUGGAGCAUCCCUUUUUUUAAAUAACAUCACUAGAAUAAUUAGAUCUUUUGUUCAUUCUGUUGUUGGAGCAUCGAUGUAAGAUGAGAAGUGACAGCUUUAAGAAAUUUGAAAUCAGA